rnacentral:sRNA from 1 species
CAAUAGAAAUUUGUGACAUUAAUUUAAUGUAUUAAACAUCCGGCCCCUAAUUUCUUGGCAAAAUAUGUAAAUUUUUUAAAAUCUGUCUUUAAAGUAUAUAUAAUGGCGUCAAUAUUUUUUAGUCACUAUAUAGGCAAUAUUUAAUGGAGGGUAAGUUUUGAAAUUUGUGACAAAACUGGCUUGGUCCCUAUGUUUGGGAGGGGACUGAAGCAGACCAAUCCCCCGGGCCCCAUCAAAUUGACAUGACAAGCAUUAAAACACUUUUCUCUAGUCAACUAAACUUCAAAAUUCUUAUAGCGGAGGGUGGGGGCAGCGGUCUAUUUUAUUUUGAAAAUAGUUGUUUCGUCCAUGUUUCCACCUUCUAUAUUGAUUAAAAAAGUGUUGUGGUCAAUCUCUAUAAAAUUUUAUUUUCCAGCCAUAUAUAGCCAUAAGGGAAAAAGGUCGGGUGACAAAAACAGUAGGGGGGGGGGGGGGUGCGUGCGUGUAUUCAACGGAAUUGACGACCUAUUCAUGGUCUAAUAUAUACUUUAACUGUUGAGAGAAAGAGAGAGAGAGAGAGAGAGGGGGUAUAUGUUGUGUUAUAUAUUUUUUUUUUAGAUACAAGUAGUAUCAUGGCAAAAAGCACCCUGUCAACUACAAAUUUACUACAUCCACAUUUAAGCCAUCGAUCAAAAUCUUUAUGGUUUUUUUAUAGAGUCUGAGAAUGUUUCGGCAAUUUUUGUUCUUAGGAGUAAAAUUAUUUAAAAUGCUAAAUACAUGUACCGAUUUUCGUGGAUUUUGUUGUUAAGUUGAUCCACAAAAUUUUAAUGUUCAUUGAAGUGUAAUAUUUUACAAACAAACUGUAUAUUCAUACAUAUAAAUAAUAUGUCUCUGUUUCAUAUGAUCAUUCGCCAUGGAUAUAUUAUGUAUCAUUAAAACUGAUUUUCACGGC